GGGUAGCCAAGCCCGGAGGGGAUAAACGCUGAAGGCAUCUAAGCGUGAAGCCGCCCCCGAGAUGAGAUAUCCCAUCCGGAAGGAGUAAGACCCCUUAGAGAGUAUGAGGUAGAUAGGUUAGAGGUGGAAGCACAGUAAUGUGUGUAGCUGACUAAUACUAAUCGGUCGAGGGCUUGACCAA
rnacentral:rRNA from 1 species